GUAGAACGCUGAAGGAGGAGCUUGCUUCUCCGGAUGAGUUGCGAACGGGUGAGUAACGCGUAGGUAACCUGCCUGGUAGCGGGGGAUAACUAUUGGAAACGAUAGCUAAUACCGCAUAAGAGUAGAUGUUGCAUGACAUUUGCUUAAAAGGUGCAAUUGCAUCACUACCAGAUGGACCUGCGUUGUAUUAGCUAGUUGGUGGGGUAACGGCUCACCAAGGCGACGAUACAUAGCCGACCUGAGAGGGUGAUCGGCCACACUGGGACUGAGACACGGCCCAGACUCCUACGGGAGGCAGCAGUAGGGAAUCUUCGGCAAUGGACGGAAGUCUGACCGAGCAACGCCGCGUGAGUGAAGAAGGUUUUCGGAUCGUAAAGCUCUGUUGUAAGAGAAGAACGAGUGUGAGAGUGGAAAGUUCACACUGUGACGGUAUCUUACCAGAAAGGGACGGCUAACUACGUGCCAGCAGCCGCGGUAAUACGUAGGUCCCGAGCGUUGUCCGGAUUUAUUGGGCGUAAAGCGAGCGCAGGCGGUUAGAUAAGUCUGAAGUUAAAGGCUGUGGCUUAACCAUAGUACGCUUUGGAAACUGUUUAACUUGAGUGCAAGAGGGGAGAGUGGAAUUCCAUGUGUAGCGGUGAAAUGCGUAGAUAUAUGGAGGAACACCGGUGGCGAAAGCGGCUCUCUGGCUUGUAACUGACGC
rnacentral:rRNA from 1 species